rnacentral:lncRNA from 1 species
CACUCCUAAGGCAGUUUUCACACAUGAGAGCAGCCUGUUCCCUACUCAGGUCUCGCUUACUCUGACGGCACAUGUGAUUCCCUGUCUUCUUCAGUAAGAUGUGCUGGCCAUCUUGCUGGUCCAAGGAGGCUCUUGUGACAUUUCACCUGCCUGUUCACCGGUCUGCUCCAGGAUUCUUUUGCAGAGUCCUUUUCGGCAAAUACACACUGAUUUCCCUCUGUUGUAACCGAUCGUUUAUCAAGUCCGGUCCCCAUCCUCUAAGAAAAUUUCUCCAUGAUGUUUUGUGCUUGUUAUGUUCAUUGUAAACUGUGAAACUGUGCCUGACAUGUUCAGGAUGGAGUACAGCACAGCCCUUGCCCGGCGCUUUGGGUCUCCUGUGACGUCAUAGUUACUGCAUAACUCGCUAACAACAUCUACCCUGCUUUUUGUUUUGUUAUGAAAUUGUGACCAUUUCUAGCUUCAUUUGAGUUGAGAGAGAAUUCACUAUCAAUCCUUUUUGGCUUGUUUGCUUUGAGACAGGGUCUCACUCUGUAGUCCCUGGCUACCCUUAAACUCGCUGUGUAGCACAGGCUGACCUUGGAUUCACAGGAUCCUCCUGCCUCAGCCUUCAGAGUACUGGGGUUAUAGGUGUGUACCACCCAUCGGCCUUACCAUCAAUCUUACCGUCAUGCUGUAAUGUUGACAGUAUUGAUAUUGCUUUGUUUUUCUUCACCAUACAGGAGGCCUAUGUGUCUUUCUGAAAUCCGAAAGUGGUACUAUACCUUCCUCUAUUCUGCACUUCAACAUUUUUUUCAGGAAUCCCAGCUCCGUUCUUGCCAAUAGUUGCUGUGCCGGUCAGCUGGUGUUCGUUCAGCAAAUGUAACAUCAAUGGUAGCUAGUGAACCACUUGUCGAAUGUGACAUUUGGGUUACUUUUUUGUUAUUUUGUUUAUUUAUUUUUAAUCUUUAUUUAUGGUCACUUUUUGAAAUAGGUGCAGUAAGACUGUUCACAAAGCCACAUGGUUAUUCCUGCGUGAAGAAAGAUCUGGUGGCUGAGUUCCAGGAUACAUUUCUAAAUCCAAGGUCCAAGCAGCAAGUCCAUCGCCUAACAUUACACCAUUAUUUCAUCGAAAUCAGAAAAACUGAUGCAUCUUGUUAAAACAAUGAACUGCUUUCAACUUUGAUCAGAUGAAGCACGAAAAACAGUCAUCUGUCAAAGAAUCUUCACAAUUUUCACCACACAUGCAGCAUAAUUUAGUCACCCGACAUAAAAUAGGAAAAUACAAUUGAUUUAAAAGAAAGCUGAAAAUAUGCUGUCCCUCAAUCUUAUAUAAUAUGCUCCCAAUAAAUGUUGUCUAAGUUAAUACAUGAAAUGUUGCUGAGAGUUCCACAAUGAGCUAAUGCAUUCAUCACCUAAAUAAAUCUGACAAUAGCAACUUAAUAUGCCACCCUUCGCACCCU